GUAAUUCCAGCUCCAAUAGCGUAUAUUAAAGUUGUUGCAGUUAAAAAGCUCGUAGUUGAACUUUGGGCCUGGGUGGCCGGUCCGAUUUUUUCGUGUACUGGAAUGCACCCGGGCCUUUCCUUCUGGCUAACCCCAAGUCCUUGUGGCUUGGCGGCGAACCAGGACUUUUACUUUGAAAAAAUUAGAGUGUUCAAAGCAGGCGUAUUGCUCGAAUAUAUUAGCAUGGAAUAAUGGAAUAGGACGUUUGGUUCUAUUUUGUUGGUUUCUAGGACCAUCGUAAUGAUUAAUAGGGACGGUCGGGGGCAUCAGUAUUCAAUUGUCAGAGGUGAAAUUCUUGGAUUUAUUGAAGACUAACUACUGCGAAAGCAUUUGCCAAGGACGUUUUCAUUAAUCAAGAACGAAAGUUAGGGGAUCGAAGAUGAUCAGAUACCGUCGUAGUC
rnacentral:rRNA from 1 species